UACGAAGGGGACUAGCGUUGUUCGGAAUCACUGGGCGUAAAGCGCACGUAGGCGGAUUUGUAAGUCAGGGGUGAAAUCCCGGGGCUCAACUCCGGAACUGCCUUUAAGACUGCAUCGCUUGAAUCCAGGAGAGGUGAGUGGAAUUCCGAGUGUAGAGGUGAAAUUCGUAGAUAUUCGGAAGAACACCAGUGGCGAAGGCGGCUCACUGGACUGGUAUUGACGCUGAGGUGCGAAAGCGUGGGGAGCAAACAGG
rnacentral:rRNA from 1 species